rnacentral:rRNA from 1 species
UACGAAGGGGGCUAGCGUUGUUCGGAAUUACUGGGCGUAAAGCGCACGUAGGCGGACUACUAAGUCAGGGGUGAAAUCCCGGGCUCAACCCCGGAACUGCCUUUGAUACUGAUAGUCUCGAGUCCGGAAGAGGUGAGUGGAAUUCCGAGUGUAGAGGUGAAAUUCGUAGAUAUUCGGAGGAACACCAGUGGCGAAGGCGGCUCACUGGUCCGGUACUGACGCUGAGGUGCGAAAGCGUGGGAGCAACAGG